UGUGGGGGGCCUACGGGAGGCAGCAGUGGGGAAUUUUGGACAAUGGGCGCAAGCCUGAUCCAGCAAUGCCGCGUGAGUGAAGAAGGCCUUCGGGUUGUAAAGCUCUUUUGUCAGGGAAGAAACGGCUCCGGCUAAUAUCCGGGGCUAAUGACGGUACCUGAAGAAUAAGCACCGGCUAACUACGUGCCAGCAGCCGCGGUAAUACGUAGGGUGCAAGCGUUAAUCGGAAUUACUGGGCGUAAAGCGUGCGCAGGCGGUUUUGUAAGUCUGACGUGAAAGCCCCGGGCUCAACCUGGGAAUUGCGUUGGAGACUGCAAGGCUUGAAUCUGGCAGAGGGGGGUAGAAUUCCACGUGUAGCAGUGAAAUGCGUAGAGAUGUGGAGGAACACCGAUGGCGAAGGCAGCCCCCUGGGUCAAGAUUGACGCUCAUGCACGAAAGCGUGGGGAGCAAACAGGAUUAGAUACCCUGGUAGUCCACGCCCUAAACGAUGUCUACUAGUUGUCGGGUUUUAAUUAACUUGGUAACGCAGCUAACGCGUGAAGUAGACCGCCGC
rnacentral:rRNA from 1 species